AGUUUCCAGGUCCUUUGUAUUGAGCUUGAGCGCAAUCGCCGCAGUAGCGUGCUUAGCUGUCCUCUGCCUCGUUGAUGAGCGUGUCGAGCCCCAGGUAGUCGUUUCACGAGCUGAAGGGCUGCGGGUGCGCCGGGCCCUGGGCGCUCACGUAGCGGGCGCUGGGCACGAGCGCCAUGGGCGGGGGGGCGCGGCCGCGGCUGGGCGAGCGGGGCGCCCAGGGGAAAGCCUCCAUGGGCGGGCUGCGGGCCGCGGGCCGCGCGCGCCGCCUCCCCGCGGCCGGCGCGGGCCGCACGGAAGGGAAGCGCCGAGCCAGCCCGCCGGCCUGCCGCGGGGUGGGGCCGCCUCGCCGCCUUUUAUCGGGCCCCGCUCCUCCCCCGGCCUCGCCGCCGCGGCCCUGCCCCCGCGCUACCCCGCCCGGGCCUCCCCGCCCGCGCCUCGGACGGAGGCGGCGCGGAGGCGGGCGCCCCAGCGGCGGGCGGGCGGGCGGGCGGGCGGGCGGUGCGCGCGCCCCGGUCCGGCCCGCGCGGCUCCCGCGCCCCUUGCGCUGCGCCAGCCUCGCCAGCUGCGGCGACUCUCACUCCGCGAGGGGGCGGGCUUAGCGCCGCCUCGGGCCCGGGCGCUCAUUGGCUGCGGACCAGAGCCCCCUGCGCCGCGGGCGCCGCUCGGGACGCCGAUUGGUCCAUCUGCGGGAGGGGCGUGUCCUGCCCGCGGGGCUGCGAGGGGAAGGGAAGGGAAGGGAAAGGAGAGCGGGGAACAGGAGGGGAGGGGAGGGGAGGGGAGGGCCGGCCGCCGCGGCCCAUCUUCGCCCGAGCGCCGUGCUUUGGUUUGGAGCCGGUGGCCAGGCCUGGGUCUCCCUCCGCCCGGGGGUGAGACUCGCGGAGCACACGGGCAGGCACGGGGAUGGGGGGAUGCCCCAAGGUGCGCGCACCCACCUCCCGCCUUGAAUGCCCCAGGUCAGCCUUCGGAGGAGCCCCGCGCCCCAGCAUCAGCAGGAGAAGCUCCGGAGAGGCAGGAUUUGGCGCGCGCUGGGGAUGCGGUGGUGGAGACGGAGCUGCCCGACGCUCGAGGCACUCACUUCCCCUUGCGCAGCGCCCUGGAGAGCUGUCAGCCCGGGAAGGCUUCGCGCCGGCCUCGGAGGUUCAGAGAGGUUAUGGUUCUUGCCUUAGGAAGCGGUGGAGGCAUCAGGACUUCCCCAAGGCGCGCAGCCGACUCCCAACAGGAGGAUGUGAGGUGGUCAUGCCCUUCUCGGAAGAGACAACGCUUUUUACAAGAUGGAGCGUAG
rnacentral:lncRNA from 12 species